AUUGAACGCUGGCGGCAGGCCUAACACAUGCAAGUCGAGCGGAUGAAGGGAGCUUGCUCCUGGAUUCAGCGGCGGACGGGUGAGUAAUGCCUAGGAAUCUGCCUGGUAGUGGGGGAUACGUCCGGAAAAGGGCCGCAAUUACGCCUUCGUCCUGGGGGGAAAAGUGGGGGGUCUUCGGACCCCCCGGCUUCCAAUGGGCCUAGGUCGGAUUAGCUAGUUGGUGGGGUAAAGGCCUACCAAGGCGACGAUCCGUAACUGGUCUGAGAGGAUGAUCAGUCACACUGGAACUGAGACACGGUCCAGGCUCCUACGGGAGGCAGCAGUGGGGAAUAUUGGACAAUGGGCGAAAGCCUGAUCCAGCCAUGCCGCGUGUGUGAAGAAGGUCUUCGGAUUGUAAAGCACUUUAAGUUGGGAGGAAGGGCAGUAAGUUAAUACCUUGCUGUUUUGACGUUACCAACAGAAUAAGCACCGGCUAACUUCGUG
rnacentral:rRNA from 1 species